UGGUUCUGGCAUCGAUGAAGAACGCAGCGAAAUGCGAUAAGUAAUGCGAAUUGCAGAAUUCCGUGAGCCAUCGAAUCUUUGAACGCAUAUUGCGCCCGCUAGUACUCUAGCAGGCAUGCCUGUCCGAGCGUCAUUUCAGCCUCAAGCGCGGCUUGGUGUUGGGGCCUUACAGCUGCUGUAAGCCCUAAAAGACAGUGGCGGGCUCGCCCUAAGUCCGAGCGCAGUAGCACAUCUCGCUCGGCACGUUCUCGGCGGGCCCGGGCCGUUAAACCCCCCCUAUUUGGAAGACGGUUGACCUCGGAUCAGGUAGGAAUACCCGCUGA
rnacentral:misc_RNA from 1 species